rnacentral:rRNA from 1 species
UUGAUCCUGGCUCAGAUUGAACGCUGGCGGCAGGCCUAACACAUGCAAGUCGAACGGUAACAGGAAGAAGCUUGCUUCUUUGCUGACGAGUGGCGGACGGGUGAGUAAUGUCUGGGAAACUGCCUGAUGGAGGGGGAUAACUACUGGAAACGGUAGCUAAUACCGCAUAACGUCGCAAAACCAAAGAGGGGGACCUUCGGGCCUCUUGCCAUCGGAUGUGCCCAGAUGGGAUUAGCUAGUAGGUGGGGUAACGGCUCACCUAGGCGACGAUCCCUAGCUGGUCUGAGAGGAUGACCAGCCACACUGGAACUGAGACACGGUCCAGACUCCUACGGGAGGCAGCAGAAGGGCGAAUU